rnacentral:piRNA from 1 species
UAAUAACUACAUGGUCCCGAGAGUAAAGC